rnacentral:rRNA from 3 species
UGGGGAAUAUUGGACAAUGGGCGCAAGCCUGAUCCAGCCAUGCCGCGUGUGUGAAGAAGGCCUUUUGGUUGUAAAGCACUUUAAGCGAGGAGGAGGCUACCGAGAUUAAUACUCUUGGAUAGUGGACGUUACUCGCAGAAUAAGCACCGGCUAACUCUGUGCCAGCAGCCGCGGUAAUACAGAGGGUGCGAGCGUUAAUCGGAUUUACUGGGCGUAAAGCGUGCGUAGGCGGCUUUUUAAGUCGGAUGUGAAAUCCCUGAGCUUAACUUAGGAAUUGCAUUCGAUACUGGGAAGCUAGAGUAUGGGAGAGGAUGGUAGAAUUCCAGGUGUAGCGGUGAAAUGCGUAGAGAUCUGGAGGAAUACCGAUGGCGAAGGCAGCCAUCUGGCCUAAUACUGACGCUGAGGUACGAAAGCAUGGGGAGCAAACAGG